GUUCGACUUGAUUGCCUUCCUGCCAGCUUCUGAAAGCAGAAGGAACACGAGUGUAAUGAUCCGUGCAACAGCCACUGGGGACUUCGAUUUGCAUACGAAACGUUUGUGCUAAAAAAAACAACCAGCCUGGGAUGAAGAAUAAACUCACUGGUGACACUGAGAUGCUGCAAAGUGAUCAAGGCACAGUUUAAAAUCUUCAGCUUAAUGGGACCCUCGAAUCGUUCCCAUCUGUCGAAGAUUCUCAUCAGCAAGUACACCAAGCCAGUCCUUACGAACUUCGUGCAGAACAAUCCUGAAAAGAUGAGCUAUUCGAAUAAUUUGUUUCGUUAAAAUUCGAGCUACCACUUUCAACACAGUUUACGUACUGCUUGUCGUAAAAUAUUUGAAGCAUUCUAACAAUAUUCUUAAUUUCAGGUGCGGCAUGUAGCCGAUGGAAACGAAGGUUUUCUCCAUGGUACUGGCGAUUCCGUCCUUCACUAAUAUCUGAAGAGAGUAUGCUAACCAAAAGAAUGAAUUUUUAAGAAAAUGAUAGGAGAACACGAAAAGACUGCUGAUCCCAGGCGAGUGGUGGAACAUUUCAUCCCUUAGGCUUACUUUUAAUCAAAGGAAGCCCAAGUCACAUGAGACGGUAUCAAAAAUUUCUGCAAAAUAAAAAGUAAAAUCGCACACGCAUAGCAAGCCCAACGAUGCUUAAUUGCAUCGUUCAUUAAACUAUCAAAAUUCCACGCGAUAUUCGUCGUUCAUCGAAUCGGUCUUUCGCGUGUAAUUCAUAAAAAUAAUAGAAGAAGAAAAUCUCUUUGGGUCUGUCACGUUUGAAGUCACACAAAAAGGGGAAAUUAAAAAAAGAAACUGAAAUUCA